GCCUCAUCACAUUGAAACACCAGUUCCCAUACAAUCACCAAAGUUAAGCAACAUCGAGCCUUGACUGUACUUAUAUGGGUGACCACUUGAGAAUACCAGGUGCUGCAAG